GUUCAAAUGAGGAAGGGAUUACGGUGGAUACCUAGGCACCCAUAGACGAGGAAGGGCAUGGUAAGCGAAAAAAUGAUUCAGGGAGUUGAAAAUGAGAAUAGAUCUAGAGAUUCCCAAAUAGGUUAACCUUUUUAACUGCUGUUGAAUCCAUGGGCAGGCAAGAGACAACCUGGCGCACUGAAAAAUCUUAGUAGCUAGAGGAAUAGAAAUAAAAAGCGAUUCCUGUAGUAGCGGUGAGUGAAAUGGGAGUAGCCUAAACCGUGAAAAUGGGGUUGUGGGAGAGCACAAUAUAAUCUCUGUGCUACUAGGUGAAGCGGUUGGGUCCUGCACCUUCGAUGGUGAGAGUCCAGUAGCCAAAAGCAUCAUUGGGUUACGCUUUAACCCGAGUAGCAUGGGGCACGUGGAAUCCCAUGUGAAUCAGUAAGGACCACCUUGCAAGGCUAAAUACUCCUGAGUGACCGAUAGUGAAGUAGUACCAUGAGGGAAAGGUGAAAAGAACCCCCAUCGGGGAGUGAAAUAGAACAUGAAACCAUAAGCUCCCAAGAAGUGGGAGGAAAAUGAUAUCUCUGACUGCGUGCCUAUUGAAGAAUGAGUCGGCGACUUAUAAGCAAUGGCUUGGUUAAGGGAACCCACUGGAGCCGUAGCGAGAGCGAGUCUUCAUGGGGCAAUUGUCACUACUUAUGGACCCGAACCUGGGUGAUCUAUCCAUGACCAGGAUGAAGCUUGGGUGAAACUAAGUGGAGGUCUGAACCAAUUGAUGUUGAAAAAUUAGCGGAUGAGUCAUGGUUAGGGGUGAAAUGCCACUCGAACAUAGACCUAGCUGGUUCUCCCCGAAAUGCAUUGAGGUGCAACAAUUGACUGGACCAUCUAGGGGUAAAGCACUAUUUCGGUACGGGCCGCGAGAGCGGUACCAAAUCGAGGCAAACUCUGAAUACUAGAUUUCCCCAAUAAAAGGGGUAAAGGUCAGCCAGUGAGACGAUGGGGGAUAAGCUUCAUCGUCGAGAAGGAAACAGGCCAGAUCAUCAGCUAAGGCCCCUAAAUGAUCGCUCAGUGAUGAAGGAAGUACGAGUGCAAAGACAGCCAAGAGGUUUUCCUAGAAGCAUCCAACCUUGAAAGAGUGCAUAAUAGUUCACUUAUUGAGCACUCUUGUGUUGAAGAUGAACGGGACUAAGCGAUCUGCCAAAGCUAUGGGAUGUAAAAAUACAUCAUUAGGGGAGCAUUCCACCUCAUAGGGAAGCACCAACGCGAGCAGGUGUGGAUGAAGCGAAAGCGAGAAUGUCGGCUUGCGUAACGCAAACAUUGGUGAGAAUCCAAUGCCUCGAAAACCUAGGGGUUCCUCCGCAAGGUUCUUCCAUAGAGGGUGAGUCAGAGGCUAAGAUCAGGCUGAAAGGCGUAGUCGAUGGACAACAGGUUAAUAUUCCUGUACUACCCCUUGUUGGUCCCGAGGGAUGGAGGAGGCUAGGUUAGUCAAAAUAUGGUUAUCGGUUCAAGGAUGCAAGGUGACCAUGCUUUUUUCAGGGUAAGAAGGGGUAGAGAAAAUGCCUCGAGCCAAUGUCUGAGUACCAAGUGCUACAACGUUGAAGUACCCAUGCCAUACUCCUAGGAAAAUCUCAAACGACCUUUAACAAAUGGGUACCUCUACCCGAAACCAACACAGGUAGGUAGGUAGAGAAUACCUAGGGGCACGAGACAACUCUCUCUAAGGAACUCAACAAAAUAUCCUCGUAACUUCGGGAGAAGGGGUGCCUCCUCAGGAGGUCGUAGUGACCAAGCUCAGGUGACUGUUUACCAAAAACAUAGGUCUCCGUAAAGUCGUAAGACCAUGUAUGGGGGCUGACGCAUGCCCAGUGUCGGAAGGUUGAGGAAGUUGGUGACUUGAUGACAGGGAAGCCAGGGACCGAAGCCCCAGUGAACGGCGACCAUAACUAUAACUGUCCUAAGGUAGCAAAAUUCCUUGUUGGGUAAGUUCCAACUCGCACGAAAGGUGUAACGAUCUGGGCACUAUCUCGGAGAGAGACUCGGUGAAAUAGACAUGUCUGCAAAGAUGCGGACUACCUGCACCUGGACAGAAAGACCCUAUGAAGCUUUACUGUUCCCUGGGAUUGUCUUUGGGUUCUUCUUGCGCAACUUAGGUGAAAGGUGAAGAAGGCUCCCUCUCGGGGGGGCUUGAGCCACUAGUGAGAUACCACUCUAGAAGAGCUAGAAUUAUAACCUUGUGUCAGGACCUACGGGCCAAGGGACAGUCUCAGGUAGACCGUUUCUAUGGGGCGUAGGCCUCCCAAAAGGUAACGGAGGUAUGGAAAGGUUUCCUCUGGCUGGAUGUAAAUCGACCCUCGAGUGCAAAGGUAGAAGGGAGCUUGACUGCAAGACCCACCCGUCGAGCAGGUACGAAAGUCGACCUUAGUGAUCUGACGGUGCCGAGUGGAAGGGUUGUCGCUCAACGGAUAAAAGUUACUCUAGGGAUAACAAGUUGAUCUUCCCCAAGAGUUCACAUCGACGGGAAGGUUUGGCACCUCGAUGUCAUCUCUUUUCCACCUGGGGCGGUAGUACGUUCCAAGGGUUGGGUUGUUCGCCCAUUAAAGAGGUACAUGAGCUGGGUUCAGAAUUUCGUGAGAUAGUUCGGUCCAUAUAUGGUGUGGGCGUUAGAGAAUUGAGAGGACCUUUCCCUAGAACAAGAGGACCGGGAAGGAUGCACCUAUAGUGUACCAGUUAUCAUGCCCAUGGUAGAUGUUGGGUAGAUAAGUGCAGAGCGGAUAACUACUGAAAGAAUAUAAGUAGGAAGCCCACCCCAAGAUGAGUUCUCUCCUAUUCUUACUUCCCUAAGAGCCCUAGUCACAAGAAUGGCUGGGACAACAAUGGGUUCUCUGUCCUUUAAGGGGAUGGAGCGACAAAAGUAUUGAGAAUCCAAGAUAAGGUCACGGCAAGAUGAGCCAUUUAUCAUUACGAUAGGUGUCAAGUGGAAGUGCAAUGAUGUAUGUAGCUGAGGCAUCCUAACAGACCGAGAGAUUUGAACCU
rfam:Picea glauca, whole genome shotgun sequence.